GAAGGCACAGCUCAGUGGUUGAGCGCGUGCUCAGCAUGCACGAGGUCCUGGGUUCAAUCCCUAGUACCCCCA
rnacentral:tRNA from 1 species